CCCUUAGAUGUUCUGGGCCGCACGCGCGCUACACUGACGGAGGCAGCGAGCGUGUCCUUCGCCGGCAGGUGCGGGCAAUCUUGCGAGUCUCCGUCGUGCUGGGGAUAGAUGGUUGCAAUUGUCGAUCUUGAACGAGGAAUUCCUAGUAAGCGCGAGUCAUCAGCUCGCGCUGAUUACGUCCCUGCCCUUUGUACACACCGCCCGUCGCUACUACAGAGUGCCCGUGUCCAAGAAACGGUCGGACCUGUGCGGCCUCUCCGGGCGACCGGAGGGCCGUUAUGGGGAAGACCCUUUAUUUGACGCGGGUCGAUGAAGUAAAAGUCGUAACA
rnacentral:rRNA from 1 species